rnacentral:tRNA from 1 species
AAGGCUUUAUCUUAAUUAAAGUAUGUGCGUUGCAUGCACAAGAUGUGGGUUAAUAUCCCGCAAGCCUUA